rnacentral:lncRNA from 1 species
AUCUCCCUGUGUGUGGGACACUGCCUGCUGGGUGUUCCGUUCCAGCCCCUCUAGAAUGCAUGCUUGAAUGGCCAGUGAGGCUGGGGGAGGGACCGAGAGGGAGCCCUCACCCCCAGCAGCACAGAGCAGGAGCUGGACGGUGGGGCUGGGGGUGAGGCCAGCUGAGAGGGGUCAGGUCCUGCCACGGGAGGGGGACUUUUAAAGUUCCUCCAUGGCCCUGGAACCCUGGAGCCUCAGGAGUGGCAGGGGAGCUUCUCCGCCCUAAUAGCAAUCAGAUGGCGCAAGUGGAAAAUCACGGCGCUCGGCAAGCAAGCUGGAAAUUGGCGGGCUGUGGUGCCUGGUGCCUGCGCUGCUCAGCGGGAGGAUGAGUCAGGAGUGUAGUGCCCAGACUGGGAGAGAUGUGCCUCUGUGGGCAUCUUGAAGGGAAAUGAGAAGCGGAGCUGCCCCUGCACCUGCGCUGGGAGCUGCCUGCCUCCUGCUUGUCCUGGCCAUGUGCGAACCUCAGCGUGGAAGAGGGACUCUCGCACUGCUCCCUGCGCGGCUCAGCUGGCCUCCUGGGGUCCGUUUUUCAGGGAUGGGGUGAGGAGGGACUCUGGGAUCCUGGAGGCUCACGGGCCAUGCCUGAGGCUGAGAGAGAGGCUGGAGGCAGCAGGCAGGGUGGUGACCCGUCCCCUCCUCUCCAGGGCAGCCAGCUGGGGCCCAGCUGGAACGCUUGUUUACAUGGGGAGGCCGGGGGAGGCUGAAUCCCGGCGAGUUCCAAGUGUAAUUGCGUUUGGACACUUAAAAGGAAUUGUGUGAAGUGGGCAGAGGCUCUGAAGUCCACCGCCUUAUUUGGUGCUUCUGUGGCCUAUGGUUGCCCUGCUGCUCCCUGGACGAGGGGGUGGGUGUGGACCAGCCCUCGUGGCCCCUCUGCAGCCAGCACCAUCCUCAGUAAAGACUACAGGUAUUUCCUGAGCACCUGCAGGGUGCCAGGCACUGUGCUCUGUGCUGAUGAAUAGGACAGGCAAGGUCCCUGCUCUCCGGGAGCUGAUGUCCAACAGAGAGGCAGACCAGGUCAAAGGAAACACAGUAAAAUGCACCUGCGAUGAAGAAGGUGUGCAGGGCCAUUCGGCUGGUGUGGUGGCUCACGCCUGUAAUCCUAGCACUUUGGGAGGCUGAGGCAGGUGGAUUGACUGAGCUCAGGCGUUCCAGACCAGCCUGGCCAACAUCGUGAAACUCCAUUUAUACUAAAAAUACAAAAAAUUAGCUGGGCAUGGUGGCACACACCUGUAGUCCCAGCUACUUGGGAGGCUGAGACAUAAGAAUCACUUGAACCCAGGAGGUGGAGGUUGCAGUGAGCUGAGAUCACGCCACUGCAGCACCCCAGCCUGGGUGAGACAGCGAGACUCUGUCUAAAGAAAAAAGGUUGAACCAAGGCCUAGCUGUCUUUCCUAAUAGUGAAAGGGACCCCUCUCCUUCUGCUCUGUUCCCCUCCUCCACUAGGCUGGGCCUUUCUGUGCUGGAAGGUGCAUCUUGGGAAUCUCAGCAAAAGUCCACAUUAUCCUCUGUCCUGCAUGUGGUAGACCAUUCAUUUGUUAAUUUGUCCAUCUUUCCAUCUAUCCACUUACUCAUCUACCCACUCAACUACCCAUCUACUUGCUCAUCCAUCCAUCCAUCCAUCCAUCCUCCCAUCCAUCCAUCCACCCACCAGACCAUCCAUCCAUCCAUCCAUUCACCCACCAAACCAUCUAUCCAUCCAUCCAUCCAAGUACAAGACCAUCCAUCCAUCCAUCCAUCCAUCCACCCACCAAACCAUCCAUCCAUCCAUCCAUCCAUCCACCCACCCACCAGACCGUCCAUCCAUCCAUCUAUCCAUCCAUCCAUCCAUCCAUCCAUCCAUCCAUCCAUCCACCAAACCAUCCAUCCACCCACCAAACCAUCUAUCCAUCCAUCUAUCCAUCCAUCCAUCCAUCCAUCCAUCCAUCCAUCCAUCCAUCCACCAAACCAUCCAUCCACCCACCCACCAGACCAUCCAUCCAUCCAUCUAUCCAUCCAUCCAUCCAUCCAUCCAUCCAUCCAUCCAUCCAUCCACCAAACCAUCCAUCCAUCCAUCCAUCCAUCCAUCCAUCCAUCAUCCAUCCAUCCACCCACCCAUCCAUCCAUCAAUCCGUCUAUCCAUCCAUUCAUCUAUCAAUCCAUCCAUUCAUCCAUCUAGCCAUCCACCCACCCACUCACCCAUCCACCCAUCCAUUCAUUCUUACCUUAAUUCAACACAUUUGUACUGAACACCAGCAAUGUUGGUGCUAGGAAAAGAAUUGUGGAAGAACCAGACAUGGGGCAUGGGGAGCAGGUGAUAAAUAGAAAAAACUGAACAUAAGAACUCCAACCUGUGAUUAGUGCAUUGAGAAAACCAAACAGGCAUAGUGACAGAAACUUAGGUGGUAGGCAGGGAGGGAUGGGAGGUGAGCUGAAUAAUGGCCCCUAAAGAUGUUGAUGUCCUAAUCCCCAGAUCCUGAGAACAUGUGACUUUGCACCUGGCCAAAGGGACUUUGCAGUUGGGAUGGAGUGAAGGGUCUUGAGAUGGGAGCAUCAUUGUGGAUUAUCCAGGUGGGCCCUAUGUCAUUGCAAGGGUCCUUGUAAGAAGGAGACAGGAGAUCAGAAUGAGUAGUGGGCCAUGUGUUGAUGUGAGGAAGGGGCCACCAGCCAAAGAAUGCAGGCUGCCUCUAGAAACUGGAGAGGACAAGGAAACAAGCUGUCCCCUAGAGCCUCCAGAAGGAACCAGCCCUGCCAACACCUUGACUUUAGGCCUCUGAUUUCUGGAACUCUUACUAGAAUACGUUUGUGUUGUUUAAGCCACUAAGUUUGUGUCAUUUGUUACAGAAGCCACAAGAAACUAAUCCAUGGGGAUGGCCAGGCCUGAUUAGCUGGGGUGGGGCUGGAGGCUCCUCUACAGAGAUGAUGCUUACACUGAGACCUGAAGGAGAAGGAGGAGGUGGCUGCUCACGCAACCCACAGGAAAGUGUUCCAGGAUCAAGAACAGCAGGUGCAAAGGCCCCGUGAUGGAAAGGAUUGGUGCACUAGGAGAACAAAGGCAGCCUGGACACCAGGUUUGGUCUACCUCGUCCACACCCGCCUGCUUCUGUCCCGCCUUAAGCGGAUCCGUGAUGUCCCGUCAUUAGACCUUCAAUUUCAGCACAGGACUGAAUAACUAACCUUCAAAAAGUUUGCAGUAGCCUUGUCACUCCUAAAAAUAACAAAUAAUUCCUUAAACAUCAUUCAACAUCCAAUCAGUGUUUGCACACUUUUUUUACAGCUCUGCAUGUGUGUCACAAGCUAAACAAGGCCCGUGAGUGGAUGUGCUUCUUUUUGGGGUUGGGGAGAGACGGUGUCUCACUCUGUUGCCCAGGCUGGAUUGCAGUGGCAAGAUCUUGGCUCAUUGUGUCUCCCGGGUUCAAGCGAUUCUUCUGCCUCAGACUCUUGAGUAGCUGGGACUACAGGCAGUGCCACCACGCCUGGCUAAUAUUUGUAUUUUUAGUGGAGACGGGGUUUCACCAUGUUGGUGAGGCUGGUCUCAAACUCUUGACCUCAUGUGAUCCCCCGACCUCGGCCUCUCAAAGUGCUGGGAUUACAGGUGUGAGACACCGUGCCCUGCCUGAUGUGCUCCUUUUAAUGACAGGUUCCCCGCAGCAUCUCCCUGUCCCUCUUCC